rnacentral:lncRNA from 1 species
AAAUGCAGAACGCUGAAAAACCCGCUCAACAACUGUGUCGAUGUCGAUGUAAUUGGAGUACGGUUAUCAUCUCUCGUCGUCGCUCUCCUCAUCCACAACAACCACUCGCGACUCCAACAACAUCGUCGUCUAUCACCAUCGAUGUCGUCCGUCACCAUCAACUGAAAUAUUAAAAUUAUUUUUUAAUUUUUAUUGAUAAAACUGAUGUCAGAAUAAAUAAAUUUACAUGUUAAUUUUUUAAAAUAUAAAAAUAAAAUAUUAAAGAUAACUCACUAAAGAUGAUAUAUUAUUAACCCCAUCUUCUUACCCAUUUGUUUCUUGUGCUCUCCAUGAUUGCUAGUUCCUGACGGGUUGACAAUUCCUCCUCUUCAAAGCAU